UCGGGAAUUUUGGGCAAUGGGCGAAAGCCUGACCCAGCAACGCCGCGUGAAGGAUGAAGUAUUUCGGUAUGUAAACUUCGAAAGAAUAGGAAGAAUAAAUGACGGUACUAUUUAUAAGGUCCGGCUAACUACGUGCCAGCAGCCGCGGUAACACGAACCGGACAAACGUUAUUCGGAAUUACUGGGCUUAAAGGGUGCGUAGGCGGUGCGGUAAGUGCGGUGUGAAAUCCCACGGCUCAACCGUGGAAUUGCGCUGCAUACUGCCGUGCUAGAGGGAGGCAGGGGUAAGCGGAACUGAUGGUGGAGCGGUGAAAUGCGUUGAUAUCAUCAGGAACACCGGUGGCGAAAGCGGCUUACUGGGUCUCUUCUGACGCUGAGGCACGAAAGCUAGGGUAGCGAACGGGAUUAGAUACCCCAGUAGUCCCUGAGCGGGCUGGCAAGGCGCAU
rnacentral:rRNA from 1 species